UACGGAAGGCAGCAGUGGGGAAUAUUGCACAAUGGGCGCAAGCCUGAUGCAGCCAUGCCGCGUGUAUGAAGAAGGCCUUCGGGUUGUAAAGUACUUUCAGUCGUGAGGAAGGUGUUAAGGUUAAUAACCUUAGCAAUUGACGUUAGCGACAGAAGAAGCACCGGCUAACUCCGUGCCAGCAGCCGCGGUAAUACGGAGGGUGCGAGCGUUAAUCGGAAUUACUGGGCGUAAAGGGCACGCAGGCGGUUAAUUAAGUUGGAUGUGAAAUCCCCGGGCUUAACCUGGGAAUGGCAUUCAAGACUGGUUAGCUAGAGUCUUGUAGAGGGGGUAGAAUUCCAUGUGUAGCGGUGAAAUGCGUAGAGAUGUGGAGGAAUACCGGUGGCAAAGGCGGCCCCUGGACAAAGACUGACGCUCAUGUGCGAAAGCGUGGGGAGCAAACAGGGAUUAGAUACC
rnacentral:rRNA from 1 species